GCACAGUCCUCUCUGUUGUAAAAGGAGGAAAGCUUCCCCACCUCGCAUGAGGGCAAAGAGCCCCCAAUCCCAAUCCCAAUCCCCAUUCUCCACUUGACAAAUUUCAUCAUUCAAUUUCAGGAACCGAAAAAAAAAAAAACCCAUUCAUCAUCAACCAACAUGGCUUUGAGUCACAGGCUUUCUCAAAAUUUUCUACCCAACCCAUCAAAUGUGAUGAAGACCAAGAAAUCUUCACAUACCAAUGAGAGAAAGCCACGAAAAUUCCAAGUCAUCCACGCAGAGAAGAGAUGCUUGAGAUGCAAUACUCUCUACCAUGACAAAGAUAAUUCCCCAACUUCUUGCUCGUUCCAUGGCCACACCACUGUUGGAAUUUGAUUUUCAGCAGCCUGAGGACAAACAAUCUGAUUCCCAAGAAGUCAAAAUUUCGAAUGAUCAAUGAUGUCUAUAAGCAGAAAGAAGAUUCACCAAUACUUUCAUGUCCCAGUCCUGAACCAGCAAGCCUUUGUUUGGUUGGUUUCCAUGUUACUUGAAUGUGGUUGCAGGGAGAGAAGGGACUCUAUGCAUUGGCACCACCUCACCAAGGGAUUGAUGGAGAGUGGAGUGAUCGGUCUGGAGUGAUCGUCUACAAAUGGAACGAAAAGAAUAAUCGACCAAACACUGGAAGGGCGAACUGGAAAAAGAGAUGGAGCUGUUGUGCUGAGUAUGAUGAAAAUGCCCCACCUUGUCGACAAGGUUGGCAUGUCUCGUAUGAUGAUGGCUUCACUUUAUAUUAGUCACAUUUCAAUCAAAUGCAUUGUCAACUAUUGAAAUCAGUAGCACAUAAACUGACUCCACCUGCAAAUACAAGGUUAUAUAAACUAAAUUCUUCUACACAUAGCUCACACUAACUGGCAUUACCCAUUUUUCCCUGCGAAUUUGAAACAAAAAUAUCUGAUGGUUUCUAUCAAUUAAAUCCUACCACACACUUAUUUCUUCUUC